rnacentral:rRNA from 1 species
CCUACGGGAGUCUGCAGUAGGGAAUCUUCCACAAUGGGCGAAAGCCUGAUGGAGCAACGCCGCGUGGGUGAAGAAGGUCUUCGGAUCGUAAAACCCUGUUGUUAGAGAAGAAAGUGCGUGAGAGUAACUGUUCACGUUUCGACGGUAUCUAACCAGAAAGCCACGGCUAACUACGUGCCAGCAGCCGCGGUAAUACGUAGGUGGCAAGCGUUAUCCGGAUUUAUUGGGCGUAAAGGGAACGCAGGCGGUCUUUUAAGUCUGAUGUGAAAGCCUUCGGCUUAACCGGAGUAGUGCAUUGGAAACUGGGAGACGUGAGUGCAGAAGAGGAGAGUGGAACUCAAGGUGUAGCGGUGAAAUGCGUAGAUAUAUGGAAGAACACCAGUGGCGAAAGCGGCUCUCUGGUCUGUAACUGACGCUGAGGUUCGAAAGCGUGGGUAGCAAACAGGAUUAGAUACCCUUGUAGUC